CCCGGUGAUUGUAGCGGAGGGGCCACACCCGUUCCCAUUCCGAACACGGCCGUUAAGCCCUCCAGCCCCGAUGGUACUGCACGGGUAACUGUGUGGGAGAGUAGGACGUUGCCGGGG
rnacentral:rRNA from 1 species